UUAGCUCACCUGGUCCAAAGGGCCAAGUGAGCUUUUCUCAUCACUUGGCGUCCGGCGUCUUCGUUAACUUUUUACGUUUUGAACUUCUUCUAGAGAACCACUGAAUGGAAUGAAAACAAACAUGACAUGAAUGUUCCUUAUGAGGUGCUGACCAAGUGUUGUUACUUUGUAGCCGAUCCAUCAUCCAAGAUGGCCGCCAGCGGGGGACUUAGAUUAAGAUAGGACCCUAUGGGAAAUACAUACAAAUGUCUUCUUUUAGAGAACCAGUGAAUGGAAUGAAACCAAACAUGGUAUGAAUGUCCCUUAUGAGGUGCUGACCAAGUGUUGUUACUUUGCAGUUGGUCCAUCAUCCAAGAUGGCCCCCAGCGGGGGACUUAGUUUAACAUAGGACCCUAUGGGAAAUACAUACAAAUGUCUUCUUUUAGAGAACCACUGAAUGGAAUGAAACAAAACAUGGCAUGAAUGUUCCUUAUGAGGUGCUGACCAAGUGUUGUUACUUUUCAGUCGGUCAAUCAUCCAAGAUGGCCGCCAGCAGGGGACUUAGUUUAACAUAGGACCCUAUGGGAAAUACAUACAAAUGUCUUCUUUUAGAGAACCACUGAAUGGAAUGGAACCAAACAUGGCAUGAAUGUUCCUUAUGAGGUGCUGACCAAGUGUUGUUACUUUGCAGUCGGUCCAUCAUCCAAGAUGGCCACCAGCGGGGGACUUAGUUUAACAUAGGACCCUAUGGGAAAUACAUACAAAUGUCUUCUUUUAGAGAACCAGUGAAUGGAAUGAAACCAAACAUGGCAUGAAUGUUCCUUAUGAGGUGUUGAUCAAGUGUUGUUACUUUGUAGUCAAUCCAUCAUCCAAGAUGGCCGCCAGCGGGGGACUUAGUUUCACAUAGGACCCUAUGGGAAAUACAUACAAAUGUCUUCUUUUAGAGAACCACUGAAUGGAAUGAAAUAAAACAUGGCAUGAAUGUUCCUUAUGAGAUGCUGACCAAGUGUUGUUACUUUGCAGUCAGUCCAUCAUCCAAGAUGGCCGCCAGGGGGGGGACUUAGUUUAACAUAGGACCCUAUGGGAAAUACAUACAAAUGUCUUCUUUUAGAGUUAACCACUGAAUGGAAUGAAACCAAACAUGGCAUGAAUGUUCUUUAUGAGGUGCUGACCAAAUGUUGUUACUUUGCAGUCGGUCCAUCAUCCAAGAUGGCCGCCAGUGGGGGGACCUAGUUUAACAUAGGACCCUAUGGGAAAUACAUACAAAUGUCUUCAUUUAGAGAACCACUGAAUGGAAUGGAACCAAACAUGGCAUGAAUGUUCCUUAUGAGGUGUUGAUCAAGUGUUGUUACUUUGUAGUCAAUCCAUCAUCCAAGAUGGCCGCCAGCGGGGGACUUAGUUUCACAUAGGACCCUAUGGGAAAUACAUACAAAUGUCUUCUUUUAGAGAACCACUGAAUGGAAUGAAACAAAACAUGGUAUGAAUGUUCCUUAUGAGGUGCUGACCAAGUGUUGUUACUUUGCAGUCAGUCCAUCAUCCAAGAUGGCCGCCAGGGGGGGACUUAAUUUAACAUAGGACCCUAUGGGAAAUACAUACAAAUGUCUUCUUUUAGAGUUAACCACUGAAUGGAAUGAAACCAAACUUGGCAUGAAUGUUCCUUAUGAGGUGCUGACCAAGUGUUGUUACUUUGUAGCCGAUCCAUCAUCCAAGAUGGCCGCCAGCGGGGGACUUAGUUUAACAUAGGACCCUAUGGGAAAUGCAUACAAAUGACUUCUUUUAGAGAACCACUGAAUGGAAUGAAACCAAACAUGGCAUGAAUGUUCCUUAUGAGGUGCUGACCAAGUGUUGUUACUUUGUAGCCGAUCCAUCAUCCAAGAUGGCCGCCAGCGGGGGACUUAGUUUAACAUAGGACCCUAUGGGAAAUGCAUACAAAUGACUUCUUUUAGAGAACCACUGAAUGGAAUAAAACCAAACAUGGCAUGAAUGUUCCUUAUGAGGUGCUGACCAUGUGUUGUUACUUUGUAGCCGAUCCAUCAUCCAAGAUGGCUGCCAUCUGGGAACUUAGUUUAACAUAGGACCCUAUGGGAAAUACAUACAAAUGUCUUCUUUUAGAGAACCACUGAAUGGAAUGAAACCAAACAUGGCAUGAAUGUUCCUUAUGAGGUGCUGACCAAGUGUUGUUACUUUGUAGCCUAUCCAUCAUCCAAGAUGGCCGCCAGCGGGGGACUUAGUUUAACAUAGGACCCUAUGGGAAAUACAUAAAAAUGUCUUCUUUUAGAGAACCACUGAAUGGAAUGGAACCAAACAUGGCAUGAAUGUUCCUUAUGAGAUGCUUACCAAGUGUUGUUACUUUGCAGUCGGUCCAUCAUCCAAGAUGGCCGCCAGCGGGGGACUUAGUUUAACAUAGGACCCUAUGGGAAAUACAUACAAAUGUCUUCUUUUAGAGAACCACUGAAUGGAACGAAACCAAACAUGGCAUGAAUGUUCUUAUGAGGUGCUGACCAAGUGUUGUUACUUUGUAGCCGAUCCAUCAUCCAAGAUGGCCGCCAGCGGGGGACUUAGUUUAACAUAGGACCCUAUGGGAAAUGCAUACAAAUGACUUCUUUUAGAGAACCACUGAAUGGAAUGAAACCAAACAUGGCAUGAAUGUUCCUUAUGAGGUGCUGACCAAGUGUUGUUACUUUGUAGCCGAUCCAUCAUCCAAGAUGGCCGACAGCAGGGGACUUAGUUUAACAAAGGACCAAUGGGAAAUACAUACAAAUGUCUUCUUUUAGAGAACCACUGAAUGGAAUGAAACCAAACAUGGCAUGAAUCUUCCUUAUGAGAUGCUGACCAAGUGUUGUUACUUUGUAGCCGAUCCAUCAUCCAAGAUGGCCGCCAGCGGGGGACUUAGUUUUACAUAGGACCCUUUGGGAAAUACAUAAAAAUGUCUUCUUUUAGAGAACCAAUAAAUGGAAUGGAACCAAACAUGGCAUGAAUGUUCCUUAUGAGAUGUUGACCAAGUGUUGUUACUUUGCAGCUGAUCCAUCAUCCAAGAUGGCCGCCAGCGGGGGACUUAGUUUAACAUAGGACCCUAUGGGAAAUACAUACAAUUGUCUUCUUUUAGAGAACCACUGAAUGGAAUUGAACCAAACAUGGCAUGAAUGUUCCUUAUGAGUUGCAGACCAAGUGUUGUUACUUUGCAGUUGAUCCAUCAUCCAAGAUGGCCGCUAAGGGGGGGGGGCUUAGUUUAACAUAGGACCCUAUUGGAAAUACAUACAAAUGUCUUCUUUUAGAGUACCACUGAAUGGAAUGAACCAAACAUGGCAUGAAUGUUCCUUAUGAAGUGCUGACCAAGUGUUGCUACUUUGUUGCCGAUUUACUGUUCAAGAUGGCCACCAGGAUAUUUUAUUAAAUAACGGGACCAAUAUUAAUCAAAAUUUGGCCUCAAUCAUUAUUUAGGUAUCUGUUAUGAUUUUUAUCUAUCUUUACAUGAUUUCUAAAACCAAAGUAGAGUCAGGUGAGCGACACAGGCUCUUGAGAGCCUCUAGUUUUUAUAAAUUUUAGAUUUUACGUUUCCCAGUUACAGGGUUUUAUUCAUUAAAAAAGGGGGAUUUUCCAGUUUUCGGAAAAUAACUCAAAAAUGCUUUCAGCAGUUCUGAUGAAACUUUGGUGAAUUGUUUAUAUCUGUUGAUUUAAGCUCCCUUUAGAAUUUUAUAAAUUUUAGAUUUUACAUUUCUGAGUUAUGGGGUUUAUUCAUUAAAAAAGCGGGGAUUUUCCAGUUUUUGGACAAUAACUCAAAAAUGCUUUCAGCAGUUCUCAUGAAACUUUGGUGAAUUAUUUAUAGCUAUUGAUGUAAUCUCCCUAUUGAUUUUCAUAAAUUUCAAAUAUGACAUUGAGAAGAAAUUGAACUUUAUUUGUUUAUAGUCUGACAACAGAUUUACUAAGUAUUGCACAACAGCAAGAAAUCUUUAAUUGAAAAUAAAUUCAAUUCAUAUAACCAAUUUCAAGUUCUUUGACUACAUUUAUUCAGAAACCUAUAAUAUGUCAAAUAUUAAAUUACAAUCCAAAUUCAGACCUGUAUCAAACUUGAAUAUUGUGUCCAUUUUUGCCCCAACUGUUCAGGGUUGGACCUCUGUGGGCGUAUCCAGCUGUGCUCAGCGAAGCAGU